UGGGGAAUAUUGCACAAUGGGCGAAAGCCUGAUGCAGCGACGCCGCGUGAGGGAUGACGGCCUUCGGGUUGUAAACCUCUUUCAGUAGGGACGAAGCGCAAGUGACGGUACCUGCAGAAGAAGCACCGGCUAACUACGUGCCAGCAGCCGCGGUAAUACGUAGGGUGCGAGCGUUGUCCGGAAUUACUGGGCGUAAAGAGCUCGUAGGCGGUUUGUCACGUCGUCUGUGAAAUCCUAGGGCUUAACCCUGGACGUGCAGGCGAUACGGGCUGACUUGAGUACUGCAGGGGAGACUGGAAUUUCUGGUGUAGCGGUGGAAUGCACAGAUAUCAGGAAGAACACCGAUGGCGAAGGCAGGUCUCUGGGUAGUAACUGACGCUGAGGAGCGAAAGCAUGGGUAGCGAACAGG
rnacentral:rRNA from 1 species